rnacentral:lncRNA from 1 species
AUGGGAAAUGAGAAGCACAGACUACAUGAUCACCGUGACAACAGGAGAGACAGUGUAUUGGACAGAUAUUCCUACCUGAUCCAUCUACUCAGGGAAACAUCAGACCCUACCCAGAGGAAUAUCAGACCCUACCCAGAGACACAUCAGACCCUACCCAGAGACACAUCAGACCCUACCCAGAGAAACAUCAGACCCUACCCAGAGGAAUAUCAGACCCUACCCAGAGGAAUAUCAGACCCUACCCAGAGGAAUAUCAGACCCUACCCAGAGGAAUAUCAGACCCUACCCAGAGGAAUAUCAGACCCUACCCAGAGAAACAUCAGACCCUACCCAGAGGAAUAUCAGACCCUACCCAGAGACACAUCAGACCCUACCCAGAGACACAUCAGACCCUACCCAGAGAAACAUCAGACCCUACCCAGAGGAAUAUCAGACCCUACCCAGAGGAAUAUCAGACCCUACCCAGAGGAAUAUCAGACCCUACCCAGAGGAAUAUCAGACCCUACCCAGAGGAAUAUCAGACCCUACCCAGAGACACAUCAGACCCUACCCAGAGACACAUCAGACCCUACCCAGAGGAAUAUCAGACCCUACCCAGAGGAAUAUCAGACCCUACCCAGAGAAACAUCAGACCCUACCCAGAGAAACAUCAGACCCUACCCAGAGACACAUCAGACCCUACCCAGAGACACAUCAGACCCUACCCAGAGAAACAUCAGACCCUACCCAGAGAAACAUCAGACCCUACCCAGAGACACAUCAGACCCUACCCAGAGACACAUCAAUAACAGACCCUACCCAGAGGAAUAUCAGACCCUACCCAGAGAAACAUCAGACCCUACCCAGAGAAACAUCAGACCCUACCCAGAGACACAUCAGACCCUACCCAGAGAAACAUCAGACCCUACCCAGAGACACAUCAGACCCUACCCAGAGACACAUCAGACCCUACCCAGAGACACAUCAAUAACAGACCCUACCCAGAGGAAUAUCAGACCCUACCCAGAGAAACAUCAGACCCUACCCAGAGAAACAUCAGACCCUACCCAGAGAAACAUCAGACCCUACCCAGAGACACAUCAGACCCUACCCAGAGGACACAUCAGACCCUACCCAGAGACACAUCAGACCCUACCCAGAGAAACAUCAGACCCUACCCAGAGACACAUCAGACCCUACCCAGAGACACAUCAGACCCUACCCAGAGAAACAUCAGACCCUACCCAGAGACACAUCAGACCCUACCCAGAGAAACAUCAGACCCUACCCAGAGAAACAUCAGACCCUACCCAGAGACACAUCAGACCCUACCCAGAGACACAUCAGACCCUACCCAGAGACACAUCAGACCCUACCCAGAGAAACAUCAGACCCUACCCAGAGACACAUCAGACCCUACCCAGAGACACAUCAGACCCUACCCAGAGACACAUCAGACCCUACCCAGAGAAACAUCAGACCCUACCCAGAGACACAUCAGACCCUACCCAGAGAAACAUCAGACCCUACCCAGAGAAACAUCAGACCCUACCCAGAGAAACAUCAGACCCUACCCAGAGACACAUCAGACCCUACCCAGAGAAACAUCAGACCCUACCCAGAGAAACAUCAGACCCUACCCAGAGACACAUCAGACCCUACCCAGAGAAACAUCAGACCCUACCCAGAGACACAUCAGACCCUACCCAGAGAAACAUCAGACCCUACCCAGAGAAACAUCAGACCCUACCCAGAGAAACAUCAGACCCUACCCAGAGAAACAUCAGACCCUACCCAGAGAAACAUCAGACCCUACCCAGAGACACAUCAGACCCUACCCAGAGAAACAUCAGACCCUACCCAGAGACACAUCAGACCCUACCCAGAGAAACAUCAGACCCUACCCAGAGAAACAUCAGACCCUACCCAGAGAAACAUCAGACCCUACCCAGAGAAACAUCAGACCCUACCCAGAGGAAUAUCAGACCCUACCCAGAGAAACAUCAGACCCUACCCAGAGAAACAUCAGACCCUACCCAGAGACACAUCAGACCCUACCCAGAGACACAUCAGACCCUACCCAGAGAAACAUCAGACCCUACCCAGAGACACAUCAGACCCUACCCAGAGACACAUCAGACCCUACCCAGAGAAACAUCAGACCCUACCCAGAGACACAUCAGACCCUACCCCAGAGACACAUCAGACCCUACCCAGAGACACAUCAGACCCUACCCAGAGAACAUCAGACCCUACCCAGAGACACAUCAGACCCUACCCAGAGAAACAUCAGACCCCUACCCAGAGAAACAUCAGACCCUACCCAGAGAAACAUCAGACCCUACCCAGAGACACAUCAGACCCUACCCAGAGAAACAUCAGACCCUACCCAGAGACACAUCAGACCCUACCCAGAGAAACAUCAGACCCUACCCAGAGAAACAUCAGACCCUACCCAGAGACACAUCAGACCCUACCCAGAGAAACAUCAGACCCUACCCAGAGACACAUCAGACCCUACCCAGAGACACAUCAGACCCUACCCAGAGACACAUCAGACCCUACCCAGAGAAACAUCAGACCCUACCCAGAGAAACAUCAGACCCUACCCAGAGAAACAUCAGACCCUACCCAGAGAACAUCAGACCCUACCCAGAGACACAUCAGACCCUACCCAGAGAAACAUCAGACCCUACCCAGAGACACAUCAGACCCUACCCAGAGAAACAUCAGACCCUACCCAGAGAAACAUCAGACCCUACCCAGAGAAACAUCAGACCCUACCGAGAGAAACAUCAGACCCUACCCAGAGACACAUAG